rfam:Schistosoma margrebowiei strain Zambia genome assembly, scaffold: SMRZ_scaffold0000004
AUCAAGCUGACGAGUCACAAAUAGAACGAAACGCACGUCAACCUGGAU